AAUCUAUUAAAUUUCAGCAGUACAAGAACCCGUGUGAAAAAUGGACAUUACAGAAAGGUCUCCAGCUCAACGGCACCACCUGCACAACACCCCCAGGAGCUUCGCAACAACGAGCCUCGCUGCAGAGUCAAGAGACAAAACUUCACUGCACCAGUGCCUUCCCCGGCUUCUGCACCACCCAGCAGGACGAUUUCCACGCCGUAAACUUCACUGCACCCGUGCUUCGGACCUGCGUGGUAACAUUUUAAAACCUUGUCAUUCUCCUUAACGACCACGUUUCCCUGGUUCCAAGCAUGACCAUUGAGGCUUGAGCUUUCUUCAUUGACCUUUGCGCUCGGGCUUAGCCCAAAUGAUCGUCUGAAUGUUGAGGCCUAGCGC
rnacentral:lncRNA from 1 species